AUACUUACCUGGCAGGGGCGAUUCCAUGAUCAUGAAGGUGGUUUUCCCAGGGCAAGGCUUAUCCAUUGCACUCCGGAUGUGCUGACCCCUGCAAUUUCCUCAAGUGUGGGAAACUUGACUGCAUAAUUUGUGGUAGUGGAGGACUGCGUUCACACUCUCCCCUG
rnacentral:snRNA from 1 species